rnacentral:rRNA from 1 species
GACGAACGCUGGCGGCGUGCUUAACACAUGCAAGUCGAGCGGAGCGGCGAACGGGUGUGUAACGCGUGAGUAACUGCCCCCCUCUCUGGGAUAACAGUUGGAAACGGGUGCUAAUACAGGAUAGUGGGGGCUGACUAGGGUGCUAUCAGCUUGUUGGUGGGGUAGUGGCCUACCAAGGCGCCGACGGGUAGCCGGCCGAGGGGGGCGACCGGCCACAUUGGUCUGAGAUACGGCCCAAACUCGUACGGGAGGCAGCAGUGGGGAAUAUUGCACAAGGGGGGAAACCCUGAUGCAGCAACGCCGCGUGCGGGAUGACGGCCUUCGGGGUGUAAACCGCUUUCAGCCAUGACGCGGUAUUGGCAGAAGAAGCACCGGCUAACUACGUGCCAGCAGCCGCGGUAAUAC